UACGUAGGUCCCGAGCGUUGUCCGGAUUUAUUGGGCGUAAAGCGAGCGCAGGUGGUUUAUUAAGUCUGGUGUAAAAGGCAGUGGCUCAACCAUUGUAUGCAUUGGAAACUGGUAGACUUGAGUGCAGGAGAGGAGAGUGGAAUUCCAUGAGUAGCGGUGAAAUGCGUAGAUAUAUGGAGGAACACCGGUGGCGAAAGCGGCCCUCUGGCCUGUAACUGACACUGAGGCUCGAAAGCGUGGGGAGCAAACAGG
rnacentral:rRNA from 1 species